GUUCCAUCCGCCGCGGUAAUACCGGCAGCUCGAGUGAUGGCCGAUCUUAUUGGGCCUAAAGCGUCCGUAGCUGGCUGCGCAAGUCCGUCGGGAAAUCCACUCGCCCAACGAGUGGGCGUCCGACGGAAACUGCAUAGCUUGGGACCGGAAGGCUCGAAGGGUACGUGCGGGGUAGGAGUGAAAUCCCAUAAUCCCGCACGGACCACCGAUGGCGAAAGCACUUCGAGAAAACGGAUCCGACAGUGAGGGACGAAAGCCAGGGUCUCCAACCGGAUUAGAGACCCGAGUGUCC
rnacentral:rRNA from 1 species